rnacentral:ribozyme from 1 species
AAAAAAAAAAAUCAAAAACAAGGACAAGAAAAGCCAGUUGUAUUCUUCUAGCUCUGCUCCCUCAGUCUCUUCCUCGAUAUCUUCCUCUUCAUUUUCUUGCUCUUCUUCUGUUAAUCUCUGGUACGAAGCGACAAGAUUGAAUGAGAGGGAAAGGACUAGGAUGAGAUAAUCGGUUUUAGCAUGAUCAUUUUUUCUAAGAAGCAUGAUUGAAAU